GGGUGUGUUUGGUUUUGGAACGACGUGGGUCGGGUCGGAGCCGACCCACUUUUGUGGGUUGGAGCCAACCCAGCUCGUGUUUGGAUGAGUGGGUUGGAGCCGACCCAGUUUUUUGUUUGGUUGAAAAAGUUGAGAGGGUUGGGAUGAUGUCCUUUUAACACCGUUAGCUGUGGGCCCCGCCUGUCAGUUGCGGGGCCCACC
rnacentral:lncRNA from 1 species